UAUGGCCACAUCACAUUGAAACACCAGUUCCCAUAUGAUCACUGAAGUUAAGCAACAUCAAGCUGGUCAAUACCUAGAUGGGUGACAAUUUGGGAAUACCAGGU